AGAGUUUGAUCAUGGCUCAGGAUGAACGCUGGCGGCGUGCCUAACACAUGCAAGUCGAGCGAGAAAUCUAUGUGUUGAAACUUCGGUAGAAACUUUUAGAUGGAAAGCGGCGGACGGGUGAGUAACGCGUAGGCAACCUGCCCUUAGCAGGGGGAUAGCCAUUGGAAACGAUGAUUAAAACCCCAUAAUGCAGAGAGUUCACAUGUAUUUUCUGCCAAAGAUUUAUCGGCUAGGGAUGGGCCUGCGUCUGAUUAGCUAGUUGGUGAGGUAACGGCUCACCAAGGCAACGAUCAGUAGCCGACCUGAGAGGGUGAUCGGCCACAUUGGAACUGAGACACGGUCCAAACUCCUACGGGAGGCAGCAGUGGGGAAUAUUGCACAAUGGGCGAAAGCCUGAUGCAGCAACGCCGCGUGAAGGAUGAAGGUCUUCGGAUCGUAAACUUCUGUCCUUGGGGAAGAAGAAAGUGACGGUACCCAUGGAGGAAGCCCCGGCUAACUACGUGCCAGCAGCCGCGGUAAUACGUAGGGGGCGAGCGUUAUCCGGAAUUAUUGGGCGUAAAGAGUGCGUAGGUGGUCUUUUAAGCGAGAGGUUUAAGGCUACGGCUUAACCGUAGUUCGCCUCCCGAACUGAAAGACUUGAGUGCAGGAGGGGAAAGCGGAAUUCCUAGUGUAGCGGUGAAAUGCGUAGAUAUUAGGAGGAACACCGGUGGCGAAGGCGGCUUUCUGGACUGAAACUGACACUGAGGCACGAAAGCGUGGGGAGCAAACAGGAUUAGAUACCCUGGUAGUCCACGCCGUAAACGAUGAGCACUAGGUGUCGGGGGUAUAAACCUCGGUGCCGCAGUUAACGCAUUAAGUGCUCCGCCUGGGGAGUACGCACGCAAGUGUAAAACUCAAAGGAAUUGACGGGGACCCGCACAAGCAGCGGAGCAUGUGGUUUAAUUCGAAGCAACGCGAAGAACCUUACCAGGGCUUGACAUCCUCUUGAAAGGUCGGGUAACGCUGACCCCUCUUCGGACAAGAGAGACAGGUGGUGCAUGGUUGUCGUCAGCUCGUGUCGUGAGAUGUUGGGUUAAGUCCCGCAACGAGCGCAACCCUUGCCUUUAGUUGCCAUCAUUAAGUUGGGCACUCUAGAGGGACUGCCGGGGACAACUCGGAGGAAGGUGGGGAUGACGUCAAAUCAUCAUGCCCCUUAUGUUCUGGGCUACACACGUGCUACAAUGGCCGGUACAACAGGAAGCAAUACCGUGAGGUGGAGCGAAUCCCCAAAGCCGGUCCCAGUUCGGAUUGUAGGCUGCAACCCGCCUACAUGAAGUCGGAGUUGCUAGUAAUCGCGGAUCAGAAUGCCGCGGUGAAUGCGUUCCCGGGUCUUGUACACACCGCCCGUCACACCAUGGAAGUUGGGGGUGCCCGAAGUUGGUUAAUUAAUCUACUACCUAAGGCAAAACCAAUGACUGGGGUGAAGUCGUAACAAGGUAGCCGUAUCGGAAGGUGCGGCUGGAUCACCUCCUU
rnacentral:rRNA from 1 species